CUGAAACCGUUGAAGUUUAAGGGUCUGUGUGUUGAAAUGAUAAUGAACAAAUCCAGAAUGUUGUGGAGGACGUGCAGCACUCACCUGGAAGAGCUGAAGACGCCGUAGACGGUCGGGUUCUGAGGAUCCUUGGUUUCCAGAACAAAGAUGUCCUCUAUCAACAUGAAAAGCCUGUUUAUGGUUCUGAAGGAGUUCUCCUUCAUAUGACACAUCAUUCAAACAGCAGAGAGAAAGCCUGGAGUGUGCAGACGUAGAUGUCCCACAGAGAUCGUGACAGGAAGGGACUGCUGUUACCCAGCUCAUCGAAGUGCGUGUCCACUCCUGACGGGCCGGGAACAGAACAGACCAGCCGGGCUUUGAGGAAGGUGGUCCAGCGGUUGAUCAGACUCCUCUUCCCCCCGACGUCGUUCUGAACCCGAGAAGAGAGGGAGAUGUUCCAGAUUCCUUUAAUCAUAGCUGGUGCUGUCACUGGAUCUCCAUCCAUUAAUUACAGACAUUUUAGAGCCUCAUUUUUUAAAUUCACGUUAACCUCAUUUUCAUGUUGGAUUGUUACUUCUGUGUUAGUGCAGACCUGUAAUUAAUAAAUAUGAAAUACAUUAUUA